GGCGGCGGUGCCGUCGCUGAAGCACGACGGAGUUACCGUGCCGGAGUUUCAAAAUUGGCCGAAUAGGCCCUGGGUCUGAUUUGGAUUUUUUUGGGGACAUGCGCAGGUACCGGAAGUGUGUUUUAGUUUCCGAAAAAAAAUUUAGGGAAUCUAAGGACUGCCCGUAGGCGCAGUGAGAACCCGAUUUCAGACUCAAAACAAGUAAAGAUCCCUCACCCUAUUUCUUAUCACGACAUUAAAGCUUAAUAAAUGAUAAAACGGUAUUUUAUGAAUUAAUAGAUAUGUAUAAUU
rnacentral:lncRNA from 1 species